AUUCAACUGAUGAGUUCCAAAUAGGACGAAACGCGUGUCCUUGAU
rnacentral:hammerhead_ribozyme from 1 species